rnacentral:rRNA from 1 species
CCCUUAGACGUUCUGGGCCGCACGCGCGCUACACUGACGGAACCAGCGAGUAUAAACCUUGGCCGAGAGGUCUGGGAAAUCUUGUGAAACUCCGUCGUGCUGGGGAUAGAGCAUUGUAAUUAUUGCUCUUCAACGAGGAAUUCCUAGUAAGCGCAAGUCAUCAGCUUGCGUUGAUUACGUCCCUGCCCUUUGUACACACCACCCGUCGCUACUACCGAUUGAAUGGCUUAGUGAGGCUUCCGGAUUGGUUUAGAGAAGGGGGCAACUCCAUCUUGGAACCGAGAAGCUAGUCAAACUUGGUCAUUUAGAGGAAGUAAAAGUCGUAACA